AUGCGACCCCAGGUCAGGCGGGAUCACCUGCUGAGUU
rnacentral:rRNA from 1 species